rnacentral:rRNA from 1 species
UACGUAGGGGGCUAGCGUUAUCCGGAAUUACUGGGCGUAAAGGGUGCGUAGGUGGUUUUUUAAGUCAGAAUGUGAAAGGCUACGGCUCAAACCGUAGUAAGCUUUUGAAACUAAAGAACUUGAGUGCUAGGAAGAAGGAGAGUAGAAGUUCCUAGUGUAGCGGUGAAAUGCGUAGAUAUUAAGGAGGAAUACCAGUAGCGA